AAAGAACUAACAAGGAUUCCCCNUAGUAACUGCGAGUGAAGCGGGAAAAGCUCAAAUUUUGAAUCGACGGUCUCUUGGCCGUUCGAGUUGUAAUCUAGAGAAGCGUCUUCCGCGCUGGCCCGUGUACAAGUCUCCUGGAAGGGAGCGUCAUAGAGGGUGACAAUCCCGUCUCUGACACGGACCACCAGUGCUUUGUGAUGCGCUCUCGACGAGUCGAGUUGUUUGGGAAUGCAGCUCAAAACGGGUGGUAAAUUCCAUCUAAAGCUAAAUACAGGCGAGAGACCGAUAGCGAACAAGUACCGUGAGGGAAAGAUGAAAAGAACUUUGGAAAGAGAGUUAAACAGUACGUGAAAUCGCUGAAAGGGAAACGCUUGAUGUCAGUCACAUCAGCCAGGGAUCAGCCUUGCUUCCUUGCUGGGUGUACUUCCUGGUGU
rnacentral:rRNA from 1 species